rnacentral:lncRNA from 10 species
CUGCCUCUUGCUGUGGUUCCUGUGAAAGGCGGCUUUAGUUUGGAUCUUCAGUGGGUGCCUGUUCCUUUGUGCAAGUCCAGACCGGUUUGUCCUCGCAUCCCUUCCUUGCCCUUCCUCUGCUCCACGGCCUCCUGCAGGGAGCUGAUCCCUGACGUCUCCUAGGUUCCCAGGUCAGCUGGCUGCUGGCUGGACUCUGGCCAGGCCAGCGGUGCACCAGUUGGAGGUGGGGGCAGCACUUCCAGAUGCAGCUCCAGGGCCUGCUGGACAGGCCCCCUGUGAUUCUGCCUUCUUCUAGGCUGUAGUGACAUCACCCCUGUCCUUUGUCCCUCCUGCCUGGAGGUGUCAAUGACUUCUGACUGGGGUCUCCCUGCCCCUCAUGGGCUUCUCAACUUCUUCUGUCACAUAUGUAACCAUUUCUCUGAAUAAAUUCCCUUUGUUUAAAACAGUGCUACCUACUUCCCCGGUGGGCCUUGGACAGAACUGUCGGUAGGGAGUUUCAUUAGGAAGGGACUCCAGGAAUGGCAGUGGUGUCUGAGUAAAAGCAGGAUGGAGGGAGAGUGAGUCCAAGGCAGUAUUCUCAAGCCAGUCACUGCUGUGGGCCCUAGGAAGCCACCCCACUGGGGACUCUGAGUCACUGGGGAGAACAGCCCUCAGCAUUGUCUGACAGCCCCAACUGCUCGAGACGUGCCCAAAGGUGAGGAACUCCCUAGUACUUCCAGGUUUUCACACAAAUCUGAAUGGCUCAAUGGGACCCCACAGGGAUCCCCAGGCCCCGAUAGAUGCUAGAGAUUCGACAGGAGGCUGAGGGGAGGGAUGGAUGGGGUAUCAGCCGAACCCACUGCCACAGCAAUAACUGAAGUUUAAACAAAAUGAAAAAGGAUGGGCAGGGGGUGGGAGACAGGCCCAGAGGUGUCUGGGAUGCUGAGCUCCCCUCUGCUGGGGCCUUUCUCAUGGCUCUCUUUUCCUCUCAGUCUUCACUCUUUCUGAGCAAUCUCUUACACACCCCGGGGUUUCAACAACUAUCUACAUGAUAUGGGAGGAUCAGAGUUUGCUUU